rnacentral:rRNA from 1 species
AUUGAACGCUGGCGGCAGGCCUAACACAUGCAAGUCGAGCGGAGCGGCGGACGGGUGAGUAAUGCCUAGGAAUCUGCCUGGUAGUGGGGGAUAACGUCCGGAAACGGGCGCUAAUACCGCAUACUAUCAGAUGAGCCUAGGUCGGAUUAGCUAGUUGGUGGGGUAAAGGCCUACCAAGGCGACGAUCCGUAACUGGACUGAGAGGAGGAUCAGUCACCGUGGAACUGAGACACGGUCCAGAGUGCUACGGGAGGCAGCAGUGGGGGAUAUUGGACAAUGGGCGAAAGCCUGAUGCUGCGAUGCCGCGUGGGGGAUGUAGGCUUUCGGGUUGUUAACCUCUUUCGCGAUCGAACGGGUAGGUGGAGAAGAAGCGCCGGCUAACUACGUGCCAGCAGCCGCGGUAAUUC